rnacentral:lncRNA from 1 species
GGCCAGACCUGGCAGUCAGACUGCUGUGGCCACCAGGGCUUGUUAGUGACAUCAUAAAGCCAGACCCAGAGAAAGGCUAAAAUCACCCACAUAUGCACACCAACUGGCCACCAACAGAAAAAAAUUCAGAAAACAACAGAAUCGUAACUCACAUUGGCCCCCAGCUUUCAGCCUGCAUUCCACCAUCGUAUAAGUGAAGACCCGUCAGUAGAGACAAGGUUUCACUGUGUUAGCCAGUCUGGUCUCCAUCUCCUGACCUCGUGAUCCGCCCGCCUCGGCCUCCCAAAGUGCUGGGAUUACAUGCAUGAGCCACUGCGCCCGGCCCAGCUGAAUCAUAUAAUGGAACAAGCCACACACCAGAAGGUAGAAUGUGGCAGUUCAGGCUACAGCAACCAUCUUGGAGGAAAAACUCAAGAGACGGGCAGCAGCGCUGGCUCUGAAGUGUCUGGAUCACGAAACUAAUUCCAACAACCAACUACAUCACAUAGGAAGAUCAUUCAGUAGAGCAAGGCGUCAAAGACUCAAGGACACAAUUUCAAAAACAGAAUGGACACCCAAGGAGGAUAAGUGAAAAAUCCAAUUUUGGCCAUCACCAUGACAUCUCAUUAUUGUUCCCUUUUGGGAGCUAACUCAGCACACACUCACUUUAUCUGACUCGUGUCGCUUGGAAGGGCAAGAGUGCUUCAGGUAAGAAAAUAAAGAUGCUACUAAUAGGACCUGCCCAUGGAGGAGCAAGAUGCAC